rnacentral:lncRNA from 1 species
GCCAAAGAGAAGGGGCUUCUGUCUGCUCACAUGGUAUUGAGUUGGCAUCUGCUGAGAAGCAUCCCAAAAGGAAGAUAAAGAAAUAUCUAUACCAGUCUUUGAAGACCACAUGAAUUUCUGAGAAGCCAUGAAUAAUAUUGUAUUCUUAGGGUUAAACUAAGAGCAUCUACCCCUGUUUUAGUUAGCUUUUAUUUUUGCUCUGACUAAAAGUACCCAACAGAACAACUGUAGAGGAGGAAAAGUUUAUUUAAGGGCUCACAGUUUCAGAGGUCUCAAUCCAUAGAUAGCAGAUUCUAUUCUUCAGGGUUCAAGGUGAGUCUGAACAUUGUGCGAAAGAGUGUGGCAAAAGAAAGCAGCUCCCAUUAUGAUCAGAAAACAGAGAGAGAGAAACUCCACUCUCCAGAUACAAAAUAUAUACCCCAUAGCCAUGCUCCCCAUGCCCCACCUCCUCCAGCCACCCCCACCUGCCUCCUGUUCCCCCUUAGUUAACCCCAUCAGGGAUUAAUUCACUGAUUAGGUUAAGUGUGUAACCCAAUCAUUUCUCCUCCAAACUUUCUUGCAUUGUCUCACCUGUGAGCUUUUGGGGGACACCACAGCUAAACCGUGACAACCCCAUCUUUCUCCACUUAGAAAGAAUUAGACAGGCAUAUCUAAUUAAAAAUUUUUAAAAAGGACAGAGGACUGGGCUGAACUGCAUGGAGAGUCUUUUUCUUAACCUUGUCAUAACAAUAACUUUGACUACAAGCCAGGUGUUGGUCUGCAUUUCAUAUUUUAACUCAUUUAAUUCUGUAAGUCUUAUCAUUUUAUUCCAGUACAGCUGAGGAAACUGAGGCACCGAAGGAUGAAGUGAGUGGACCAAGGUGGCAUGAGUUCAUGGUGGCAGAGCUGAGCCUGUGAAGGCAGGCUGUCAAGGGCAGGGCCUGUGCCCCUCACAGUGAGGGCACACUGCUUCUGCUCAGGCAUCAAGGCCUCUUCCAAACACCUCCUAACCCUGACUGGGCUCAGGUGUAUCUAUUAAUUAUUUCUGGGAUGGUCUAUGAGACACUUAGGGCAUGAACCUCUUUUCUUAAUAAGUUUUGCAUGCCCUGGUAUCCAGUUUGACAUAGAGACACAAAGCUAGUAUUAGUAAGUGCUUAAAAAAUGAAAUUAAUAAAUGAUUAUAUGCAGGGUUAUGGGAGAAAACUGGGGCUGUAUGGGGCAUAAUUGAAUAUUUGUAAAAUAGUCAUUAAUAUUUAUUGAUCACUUAGUAUGUCCCCAGCAGUGUGCUGAGGCGUAUUCAUGAAUUAUCUAUUAGGUCAUUAGUACAAACUUGUGAGGUGGUUCUCAUUUUAUCCCACUAUACACAUGAGGAAAGUAAGACUUAGAUUGACUUACUCAAGUUCACACUGUCAUGCUGUUAGUAAUCUGGAGAGUUAGGAUCCCA